rnacentral:rRNA from 1 species
AUACGGAGGGUGCAAGCGUUAAUCGGAAUUACUGGGCGUAAAGCGUACGUAGGCGGUUCGUUAAGUUAGAUGUGAAAGCCCCGGGCUUAACCUGGGAACUGCAUUUAAAACUGGCGAACUAGAGUUGAGUAGAGGGGAGUGGAAUUUCAGGUGUAGCGGUGAAAUGCGUAGAGAUCUGAAGGAACACCGGUGGCGAAGGCGACUCCCUGGACUCAAACUGAUGCUGAGGUACGAAAGCGUGGGUAGCAAACGGGAUUAGAUACCCCAGUAGUCC